AUGACUAGAAUGGAAGAGCUGAGCAGUGAGCAGGAGGAGCUGAGCCUGGAGCUCACCCUCCGCCCAAUGGCGCCGGAGGCCCGCGUCGGCUUCUUCCUCUGCGUGUACUGCAACCGCAAGUUCAUCACCUCGCAGGCGCUCGGCGGCCACCAGAACGCGCAUAAGCACGAGCGCAGCGUCGCCAGACGCUGCCGUCGGCAGACCGCCGCCACUGGGGAGGGUUUACCGGCUGCGACGCAGGACGAGAGUCUGCCCUGGCCCAGGUACGGCACCGUUCUCGUGUCUGCAGCUGGGACGGCUGCUGCUGCUGGCAAGGCGCACAAGCACGGCAGGAGCCGGUCGGAGCACGGCACCGUGGACGACGUCGACUUGUCUCUCCGUCUAUGA
rnacentral:rRNA from 1 species